UACGAAGGGGGCUAGCGUUGCUCGGAAUCACUGGGCGUAAAGCGCACGUAGGCGGAUUGUUAAGUCAGGGGUGAAAUCCUGGAGCUCAACUCCAGAACUGCCUUUGAUACUGGCGAUCUCGAGUCCGGGAGAGGUGAGUGGAACUGCGAGUGUAGAGGUGAAAUUCGUAGAUAUUCGCAAGAACACCAGUGGCGAAGGCGGCUCUCUGGGACGGUACUGACGCUGAGACGCGGAAAGCGUGGGGAGCGAA
rnacentral:rRNA from 1 species